ACCCAAAUUUUUAUCCAGGUUGACCUCGGAUCAGGUAGGGAUACCCGCUGAACUUAAGCAUAUCAAUAAGCGGAGGAAAAGAACCAACAGGGAUUGCCCCAGUAACGGCGAGUGAAGCGGCAAGAGC
rnacentral:rRNA from 2 species